rnacentral:rRNA from 1 species
AUUAGAUUAAAAACCAAUGCCCCUCGGGGCUCUCUGGUGAAUCAUGAUAACUAGUCGAAUCGACAGGCCUUGUGCCGGCGAUGGCUCAUUCAAAUUUCUUCCCUAUCAACUUUCGAUGUUUGGGUCUUGUCCAAACAUGGUGGCAACGGGUAACGGAGGGUUAGGGCUCGACCCCGGAGAAGGAGCCUGAGAAACGGCUACUACAUCCAAGGAAGGCAGCAGGCGCGCAAAUUACCCAAUCCCGACACGGGGAGGUAGUGACAAUAAAUACUGAUACAGGGCUCUUUUGGGUCUUGUAAUCGGAAUGAGUACAAUUUAAAUCCCUUAACGAGGAACAAUUGGAGGGCAAGUCUGGUGCCAGCAGCCGCGGUAAUUCCAGCUCCAAUAGCGUAUAUUAAAGUUGUUGUGGUUAAAAAGCUCGUAGUUGAACCUUGGGCCUGGCUGGCCGGUCCGCCUCACCGCGUGCACUGGUCCGGCCGGGCCUUUCCCUCUGCGGAACCCAUGCCCUUCACUGGG